rnacentral:rRNA from 1 species
AACGAACGCUGGCGGCAUGCCUAACGCAUGCAAGUCGAACGAGACCUUCGGGUCUAGUGGCGCACGGGUGCGUAACGCGUGGGAACCUGCCCUUAGGUUCGGAAUAACUCCCCGAAAGGGGUGCUAAUACCGGAUAAUGUCUUCGGACCAAAGAUUUUUCGCGUUUGGAUGGGCCCGCGUUGGAUUAGCUAGUUGGUAGGGUAAAAGCCUACCAAUGCGACGAUCCAUAGCUGGUCUGGGAGGAUGAUCAGCCACACUGGGACUGAGACACGGACCAGACUCCGACGGGAGGGAGCGGUGGGGAAUAUUGGAGGAUGGGCGAUAGCCUGAUCCAGCAACGCCGCGUGAGUGAUGAAGGCCUUAGGGUUGUAAAGCUCUUUGAGCCGGAGUGAUAAUGACAGUACCGGGAGAAUAAGCUCCGGCUAACUCCGUG